UACAGAGGGGGCAAGCGUUGUUCGGAAUUACUGGGCGUAAAGGGCGCGUAGGCGGCCCGCUAAGUCGAACGUGAAAUCCCCGGGCUCAACCCGGGAACUGCGUCCGAUACUGGCGGGCUUGAAUCCGGGAGAGGGAUGCGGAAUUCCAGGUGUAGCGGUGAAAUGCGUAGAUAUCUGGAGGAACACCGGUGGCGAAGGCGGCAUUCUGGACCGACAUUGACGCUGAGGAGCGAAAGCCAGGGGAGCAAACGGG
rnacentral:rRNA from 1 species